UUAAGCGACUAAGCGUACACGGUGGAUGCCCUGGCAGUCAGAGGCGAUGAAGGACGUGCUAAUCUGCGAAAAGCGUCGGUAAGGUGAUAUGAACCGUUAUAACCGGCGAUGUCCGAAUGGGGAAACCCAGUGCAAUUCGUUGCACUAUCGUUAACUGAAUACAUAGGUUAACGAGGCGAACCGGGGGAACUGAAACAUCUAAGUACCCCGAGGAAAAGAAAUCAACCGAGAUUCCCCCAGUAGCGGCGAGCGAACGGGGAGCAGCCCAGAGUCUGAAUCAGCUUGUGUGUUAGUGGAACGGUCUGGAAAGUCCGACGGUACAGGGUGAUAGUCCCGUACACCAAAAUGCACAGGUUGUGAACUCGAAGAGUAGGGCGGGACACGUGGUAUCCUGUCUGAAUAUGGGGGGACCAUCCUCCAAGGCUAAAUACUCCUGACUGACCGAUAGUGAACCAGUACCGUGAGGGAAAGGCGAAAAGAACCCCGGCGAGGGGAGUGAAAAAGAACCUGAAACCGUGUACGUACAAGCAGUGGGAGCACCUUCGGGUGUGACUGCGUACCUUUUGUAUAAUGGGUCAGCGACUUAUAUUCUGUAGCAAGGUUAACCGUAUAGGGGAGCCGCAGGGAAACCGAGUCUUAACUGGGCGUUAAGUUGCAGGGUAUAGACCCGAAACCCGGUGAUCUAGCCAUGGGCAGGUUGAAGGUUGGGUAACACUAACUGGAGGACCGAACCGACUAAUGUUGAAAAAUUAGCGGAUGACUUGUGGCUGGGGGUGAAAGGCCAAUCAAACCGGGAGAUAGCUGGUUCUCCCCGAAAGCUAUUUAGGUAGCGCCUCGUGAACUCAUCUUCGGGGGUAGAGCACUGUUUCGGCUAGGGGGUCAUCCCGACUUACCAACCCGAUGCAAACUACGAAUACCGAAGAAUGUUAUCACGGGAGACACACGGCGGGUGCUAACGUCCGUCGUGAAGAGGGAAACAACCCAGACCGCCAGCUAAGGUCCCAAAGUCAUGGUUAAGUGGGAAACGAUGUGGGAAGGCACAGACAGCCAGGAUGUUGGCUUAGAAGCAGCCAUCAUUUAAAGAAAGCGUAAUAGCUCACUGGUCGAGUCGGCCUGCGCGGAAGAUGUAACGGGGCUAAACCAUGCACCGAAGCUGCGGCAGCGACACUAUGUGUUGUUGGGUAGGGGAGCGUUCUGUAAGCCUGCGAAGGUGACCUGUGAGGGUUGCUGGAGGUAUCAGAAGUGCGAAUGCUGACAUAAGUAACGAUAAAGCGGGUGAAAAGCCCGCUCGCCGGAAGACCAAGGGUUCCUGUCCAACGUUAAUCGGGGCAGGGUGAGUCGACCCCUAAGGCGAGGCCGAAAGGCGUAGUCGAUGGGAAACAGGUUAAUAUUCCUGUACUUGGUGUUACUGCGAAGGGGGGACGGAGAAGGCUAUGUUAGCCGGGCGACGGUUGUCCCGGUUUAAGCAUGUAGGCUGAUUGUCCAGGCAAAUCCGGAUAAUCAAGGCUGAGGUGUGAUGACGAGGCACUACGGUGCUGAAGUAACAAAUGCCCUGCUUCCAGGAAAAGCCUCUAAGCAUCAGGUAACAUCAAAUCGUACCCCAAACCGACACAGGUGGUCAGGUAGAGAAUACCAAGGCGCUUGAGAGAACUCGGGUGAAGGAACUAGGCAAAAUGGUGCCGUAACUUCGGGAGAAGGCACGCUGGUGUGUAGGUGAAGUCCCUGCGGAUGGAGCUGAGACCAGUCGAAGAUACCAGCUGGCUGCAACUGUUUAUUAAAAACACAGCACUGUGCAAACACGAAAGUGGACGUAUACGGUGUGACGCCUGCCCGGUGCCGGAAGGUUAAUUGAUGGGGUUAUCCGUAAGGAGAAGCUCUUGAUCGAAGCCCCGGUAAACGGCGGCCGUAACUAUAACGGUCCUAAGGUAGCGAAAUUCCUUGUCGGGUAAGUUCCGACCUGCACGAAUGGCGUAAUGAUGGCCAGGCUGUCUCCACCCGAGACUCAGUGAAAUUGAACUCGCUGUGAAGAUGCAGUGUACCCGCGGCAAGACGGAAAGACCCCGUGAACCUUUACUAUAGCUUGACACUGAACAUUGAGCCUUGAUGUGUAGGAUAGGUGGGAGGCUUUGAAGCGUGGACGCCAGUCUGCGUGGAGCCAACCUUGAAAUACCACCCUUUAAUGUUUGAUGUUCUAACGUUGGCCCCUGACCGGGGUUGCGGACAGUGUCUGGUGGGUAGUUUGACUGGGGCGGUCUCCUCCCAAAGCGUAACGGAGGAGCACGAAGGUUAGCUAAUCCUGGUCGGACAUCAGGAGGUUAGUGCAAUGGCAUAAGCUAGCUUGACUGCGAGCGUGACGGCGCGAGCAGGUGCGAAAGCAGGUCAUAGUGAUCCGGUGGUUCUGAAUGGAAGGGCCAUCGCUCAACGGAUAAAAGGUACUCCGGGGAUAACAGGCUGAUACCGCCCAAGAGUUCAUAUCGACGGCGGUGUUUGGCACCUCGAUGUCGGCUCAUCACAUCCUGGGGCUGAAGUAGGUCCCAAGGGUAUGGCUGUUCGCCAUUUAAAGUGGUACGCGAGCUGGGUUUAGAACGUCGUGAGACAGUUCGGUCCCUAUCUGCCGUGGGCGCUGGAGAAUUGAGGGGGGCUGCUCCUAGUACGAGAGGACCGGAGUGGACGCAUCACUGGUGUUCGGGUUGUCAUGCCAAUGGCACUGCCCGGUAGCUAAAUGCGGAAGAGAUAAGUGCUGAAAGCAUCUAAGCACGAAACUUGCCCCGAGAUGAGUUCUCCCUGAGACUUUAAGUCUCCUGAAGGAACGUUGAAGACGACGACGUUGAUAGGCCGGGUGUGUAAGCGCAGCGAUGCGUUGAGCUAACCGGUACUAAUGAACCGUGAGGCUUAACCUU
rnacentral:rRNA from 1 species